AUGACUAACAGGAAAACCACAGAAUUCUUGAAGAUUCUGAAAGGUGCUUUCUUUCCCAAUCUUGAGGUCCUCUUGAACUUUCAAUUCAUGGAAAAUCAUAUGCUUCUCAGGUCAGCUCGUGAAUUACCAUCACUUGCCAGAAUGCUUCAAGUUUAUCAACACUGGUUGUGUUUCUGUUCAACCGCUCGGUUACAGCAUCAAAUUGAUACUUUCCCCAGUAUUUCCAGUAAAAAAACCACAGAAUUAUUGCAACAGCAAAGCUGGUUUUCACAAGAAAAUGCAUCCUUAGCUAACUUACAAAUAGCGUGUUGUUAA